AHUUAACCAUGCGGAAACCUUGAUAGGGACUUCUGAGUGCCCGUAAAAUCGGGCUGUCCAUCAGUUUAAAUAGCUGGUGAAGAAAGGGCCGGGCAAGACCGGUGCCAGCCGCCGCGGUAAUACCGGCGGCUCGAGUGGUGGCCACUAUUACUGGGCUUAAAGCGUUCGUAGCUGGCUUGUUAAGUCUCUGGGGAAAUCUUCCGGCUCAACCGGAAGGCGUCUCAGGGAUACUGGCAGGCUAGGGACCGGGAGAGGUGAGAGGUACKCCAGGGGUAGGA
rnacentral:rRNA from 1 species